rnacentral:rRNA from 1 species
CAUAUCAAUAAGCGGAGGAAAAGAAACCAACAGGGAUUGCCCUAGUAACGGCGAGUGAAGCGGCAACAGCUCAAAUUUGAAAUCUGGCCUUCGGGUCCGAGUUGUAAUUUGCAGAGGAUGCUUUUGGCGCGGUGCCUUCCGAGUUCCCUGGAACGGGACGCCUUAGAGGGUGAGAGCCCCGUACGGUUGGACACCAAGCCUCUGUAAAGCUCCUUCGACGAGUCGAGUAGUUUGGGAAUGCUGCUCUAAAUGGGAGGUAAAUUUCUUCUAAAGCUAAAUAUUGGCCAGAGACCGAUAGCGCACAAGUAGAGUGAUCGAAAGAUGAAAAGCACUUUGAAAAGAGGGUUAAACAGCACGUGAAAUUGUUGAAAGGGAAGCGUUUGCGACCAGACCUUCUCCUGGCGGAUCAUCCGGUGGUUUCCACCGGUGCACUUCGCCAGGUCGAGGCCAGCAUCGGUCUUUGUAGGGGGAUAAAAGCUCAGGGAACGUAGCUCCUCCGGGAGUGUUAUAGCCCUCCGCAUAAUACCCUUACGGGGACCGAGGACCGCGCCUUCGGGCAAGGAUGCUGGCGUAAUGGUUGUCAACGACCCGUCUUGAAACACGGACCAAGGAGUCGAACAUUUGUGCGAGUGUUUGGGUGUUAAACCCUCACGCGUAAUGAAAGUGAACGGAGGUGAGAGCCCUUACGGGUGCAUCAUCGACCGAUCCUGAUGUCUUCGGAUGGAUUUGAGUAAGAGCAUAACUGUUCGGACCCGAAAGAUGGUGAACUAUGCGUGGAUAGGGUGAAGCCAGAGGAAACUCUGGUGGAGGCUCGCAGCGGUUCUGACGUGCAAAUCGAUCGUCAAAUCUGCGCAUGGGGGCGAAAGACUUAUCGAACCAUCUAGUAGCUGGUUACCGC